CUACGGGACGCUGCAGUGGGGAAUAUUGGACAAUGGGGGAAACCCUGAUCCAGCAAUGCCGCGUGUGUGAAGAAGGCCUGCGGGUUGUAAAGCACUUUCGGUUGGGAGGACUGCUUCUAGCACUAAUAUUGUUGGAAGUUGACGUUACCUUCAGAAGAAGCACCGGCAACUCCGUGCCAGCAGCCGCGGUAAUACUGAGGGUGCAAGCGUUAAUCGGAAUUACUGGGCGUAAAGCGCGCGUAGGCGGCUAGAUCAGUCGGGUGUGAAAGCCCCGGGCUUAACCUGGGAACUGCAUCCGAUACUGUCUAGCUUGAGUACAGGAGAGGAGAGUGGAAUUCCACAUGUAGCGGUGAAAUGCGUAGAUAUGUGGAGGAACACCAAUGACGAAGGCAGCUCUCUGGCCUGAUACUGACGCUGAGGUGCGAAAGCGUGGGGAGCAAACAGGAUUAGAUACCCCGGUAGUC
rnacentral:rRNA from 1 species